CCUACGGGAGGCAGCAGUGGGGAAUAUUGGUCAAUGGGCGCAAGCCUGACCCAGCAACGCCGCGUGAAGGAAGAAGGCUUUCGGGUUGUAAACUUCUUUUCUCAGGGACGAAGAAAGUGACGGUACCUGAGGAAUAAGCCACGGCUAACUACGUGCCAGCAGCCGCGGUAAUACGUAGGUGGCAAGCGUUAUCCGGAUUUAUUGGGUGUAAAGGGCGUGUAGGCGGGAGCGCAAGUCAGAUGUGAAAACUCAGGGCUCAACCCUGAGCCUGUAUUUGAAACUGUGUUUCUUGAGUGCUGGGGAGGCAAUCGGAAUUCCGUGGGUAGCGGGGAAAUGCGUAGAUAUACGGAGGAACACCAGGGGCGAAGGCGGAUUGCUGGACAAUAACUGACGCUGAGGCGCGAAAGCGGGGGGAGCAAACAGGAUUAGAUACCCCGGUAGUC
rnacentral:rRNA from 1 species